CACAUUUUUAUUGGCGCAAGAAUUUCCACGUGGAAUGUUUCUAGCUCUGUGAACGGGUGUGUUCUGUGGAAUCCAAACGUUUCGCUCGCAAUCGCCAGGGGCGAACUGGUUUCAUGACUUGUUGAAUGUCGACAAAGAAGUUGGCGUGCCCCGAUUUCUCAUUUCAUACUUGGAAACUCGGAGGGGGAAGAAGGUUCCUGCUGCCCUCCCACUGCAAUACCGGAUCUAAUGUUGCCAAGUUACUUCUGCAGGACUUCUGGGUUACAUCAGCAGCGAAUAGGGUGUUGUGACUCCCGACGACUGACGAGGCAUAAACGUUCAGAGGAAAAACAACUCGAAGAAGCCGAUCUAACUACGUCCUAUUGAACGGAAUGAUCUUUU